CGCGGGAUGGAGCAGUCUGGUAGCUCGUCGGGCUCAUAACCCGAAGGUCGUUGGUUCAAAUCCGGCCCCCGCAACCA
rnacentral:tRNA from 2 species